rfam:Dehalogenimonas formicexedens strain NSZ-14 chromosome, complete genome.
GGGGACGCGUGGUUUCGACAGGGGAGGUUAGUUACGGAAUUGCGGGUUGAGCUUGCCGCUAAGCUCAUUAAUCCUGGUGGCAAAAUACAAUUGGCGAACGUGAACUCGUUCUCGCCGGCUAAAUAAAGCCAGCGCAUCCGCCGCGCUCCACCCCAACGGGCGCGGACCGGGUGCCGAAAGAUUGGGGUGCCGCGUCCUUGACGCCGAUACGGGAAGCGAAAGAAAAAUUGGCUGGCCCCUAAAGAUUCCGCCGGUUGAAGCUUAAAGGGCGAGAAACAAACAUCCGGCUAGACCUGUAGUAGAUUCCGGGCAAUCUUUUCUGGACGGGGAGUUCGACUCUCCCCCGUCUCCACCA